UUUCUUAUUGGUUAAGAUUUUCGGAUUAAGUAUGAUGUUGUGUUUGCAUAUUGUUUGGAAUUUCCAAGCAAAGUAACGAAAGUUACUAUUUUCAUUUCCUGUAUAUUCGGCUUUUUCGCCAAACACCGCUUCCACAAAGAGCGGUGUUUUUU
rnacentral:other from 1 species